UCCGUAGGUGAACCUGCGGAAGCAUCAUGG
rnacentral:rRNA from 1 species